rnacentral:rRNA from 1 species
CAGUCGUACCGGCGGAUAAUCAGCCUUUCGGGUGCGAUUCUGUGGGGCGUGAGGAGCUUAACCGCCUUCAUGUUUUACGUAUUCGUGCUCUUGGGUGUACUUGCCCGUGUGGUAGGUUAACAUCAAUUUCGGUCGUCAUAAAAUGAAUUGGAGGAAUGUAGCUUCGAUCUCGUAUCGAAGUGUUAUAGACUCUGGUAGAUGUGACGAUUGGGGAUUGAGGAUUGCAACGGGAUACCCUUCGGGGCUACCUGUCUGGUCUCUGAUCGUUGCUCUGGUG